UGGGGAAUAUUGGACAAUGGGCGCAAGCCUGAUCCAGCAUCAUGCCGCGUGUGUGAAGAAGGCCUUCGGGUUGUAAAGCACUUUUAUCAGGAGCGAAACGCUGUCGGCUAAUACCCGGCGGAACUGACGGUACCUGAGGAAUAAGCACCGGCUAACUUCGUGCCAGCAGCCGCGGUAAUACGAAGGGUGCAAGCGUUAAUCGGAAUUACUGGGCGUAAAGCGUGCGUAGGCGGUUUCUUAAGUCUGCUGUGAAAUCCCCGGGCUCAACCUGGGAAUGGCAGUGGAUACUGGGAGGCUAGAGUGUGUCAGAGGGUGGUGGAAUUCCCGGUGUAGCGGUGAAAUGCGUAGAGAUCGGGAGGAACAUCAGUGGCGAAGGCGGCCACCUGGGACAACACUGACGCUGAGGCACGAAAGCGUGGGGAGCAAACAGGAUUAGAUACCCUGGUAGUCCACGCCCUAAAACGAUGCGAACUGGAUGUUGGUCUCAACUCGGAGAUCAGUGUCGAAGCUAACGCGUUAAGUUCGCCGCCUGGGGAGUACGGUCGCAAGACUGAAACUCAAAUGAAUUGACGGGGUCAUAGCUGUUUCCU
rnacentral:rRNA from 1 species